AUCAUGGAGAGUUUGAUCCUGGCUCAGGACGAACGCUGGCGGCGUGCUUAACACAUGCAAGUCGAACGGGAGGACAUGGGAAGCUUGCUUCCUAUGGACUCUAGUGGCAAACGGGUGAGUAACGCGUAAGCAACCUGCCCUCCGGAUGGGGACAACAGCUGGAAACGGCUGCUAAUACCGAAU
rnacentral:rRNA from 1 species